UGGGGAAUAUUGCGCAAUGGGGGAAACCCUGACGCAGCAACGCCGCGUGAAGGAUGAAGGUCUUCGGAUUGUAAACUUUUGUCUUUGGUGAAGAUAAUGACGGUAGCCAAGGAGGAAGCCACGGCUAACUACGUGCCAGCAGCCGCGGUAAUACGUAGGUGGCAAGCGUUGUCCGGAUUUACUGGGUGUAAAGGGCGUGUAGACGGGUGUAUAAGUCAGAUGUGAAAUGCCGCAGCUUAACUGCGGAGCUGCAUUUGAAACUAUACAUCUUGAGUGUGGGAGAGGAAAGCGGAAUUCCUAGUGUAGCGGUGAAAUGCGUAGAUAUUAGGAGGAACACCAGUGGCGAAGGCGGCUUUCUGGACCAUAACUGACGUUGAGGCGCGAAAGCGUGGGUAGCAAACA
rnacentral:rRNA from 1 species